rnacentral:rRNA from 1 species
UACGUAGGGUGCGAGCGUUGUCCGGAGUUAUUGGGCGUAAAGGGCUCGUAGGCGGUCUGUCACGUCGGGAGUGAAAACUCAGGGCUUAACCCUGAGCCUGCUUCCGAUACGGGCAGACUAGAGGUAUGCAGGGGAGAACGGAAUUCCUGGUGUAGCGGUGAAAUGCGCAGAUAUCAGGAGGAACACCGGUGGCGAAGGCGGUUCUCUGGGCAUUACCUGACGCUGAGGAGCGAAAGUGUGGGGAGCGAACAGG